UGCAUCGGUCGGGAAUCGAACCCGACCGCGUGGCAGGCGAGCAUUCUACCAUUGAACCACCGAUGC